rnacentral:rRNA from 1 species
GACUGCGGAAGGAUCAUUACCGAGUGUAGGGUUCCUAGCGAGCCCAACCUCCCACCCGUGUUUACUGUACCUUAGUUGCUUCGGCGGGCCCGCCAUUCAUGGCCGCCGGGGGCUCUCAGCCCCGGGCCCGCGCCCGCCGGAGACACCACGAACUCUGUCUGAUCUAGUGAAGUCUGAGUUGAUUGUAUCGCAAUCAGUUAAAACUUUCAACAAUGGAUCUCUUGGUUCCGGCAUCGAUGAAGAACGCAGCGAAAUGCGAUAACUAGUGUGAAUUGCAGAAUUCCGUGAAUCAUCGAGUCUUUGAACGCACAUUGCGCCCCCUGGUAUUCCGGGGGGCAUGCCUGUCCGAGCGUCAUUGCUGCCCAUCAAGCACGGCUUGUGUGUUGGGUCGUCGUCCCCUCUCCGGGGGGGACGGGCCCCAAAGGCAGCGGCGGCACCGCGUCCGAUCCUCGAGCGUAUGGGGCUUUGUCACCCGCUCUGUAGGCCCGGCCGGCGCUUGCCGAACGCAAAUCAAUCUUUUUCCAGGUUGACCUCGGAUCAGGUAGGGAUACCCGCUGAACUUAAGCAUAUCAAUAAGCCGGAGGA